AUGACUCUCAUCACCAUCCUCAUCUGGACGCUGGCCUGCUGCUGUUUUACAGGAUGCAGCGGUCAGGUGACUGUGACUCAGCCUGCAGUAAAGACAUCUGCUCCAGGGUCCACUGUCACUAUCAGCUGUAAGACCAGCCGGGCUGUUUACAGAAAUGGUGAUGGAUCUGAAGAUAUGUUCUGGUACCAGCAGAAAUCUGGACAGCCUCCAAAGCUUCUGAUAAAAUUAUCAGACUGCAGAGACACUGAGCUGUUACAGCAGGAACCGACUGCAGCUGCUGAAGAGGAAGAGACUCUGACACAGACCACUGAACACAGAGCUGACAGUCACCUCUACAAGCACUAA